UUUCAGCAUGCACAUUUCUGAAAGCCAACAGGAAUUCUUCAGAAUGCUAGAUGAGAAAAUCGAAAAGGGUCGUGAUUAUUGUUCAGAAGAGGAGGAUAUCACAUAGUGCCAAUUCUGCCAAUCAAAACAGGAAUACUACUGUGUAAAUAGAUUACAACCCGGUCAAAAUCUUUUGGAAGUCUUCUAGAGUGAGCAGCGCUACAUAGCAAAAGAAGAUCAUUUCCACAUUGUAUGCUCCAUUCAGUUACAGCGUUUCUUAAAAAAAAAAAAAGACAAGGAAUAUUGCUAAGAACUCAUAUGGAACUGUGUGUGUUGCUGCUAGUUAAAACUUGUUGCAACUUUUCACUUUUCUGUGUCCAAGUAUGCAGGAAAUCUUCAAAUUUAAUCUGAAAGACGCUGUUGAUUUUACUAAGGUUGCUGGCCUAUUUUCUAUCGGAUUAGGUAGUGUUAUACAAAACUUCCAUAAUUGAACAGUCAAGCUUCUAAGAAAUCCUCGAGCUGUUUGUCAGGCCACAGAUGGGCUGGAGUGCUUAGUAUUACUGGUGAUUUCAGCCUUUGGAGAUGGGAUGUGGUUGCCAUAACAGGCCUUGUUUCUCUACUGGGAAGAAGUUGAGAAAUUAUUGUCCGUUAAAAGCAUGUUAUCAUACAAAUACUGGAAGUGAUGCAGGAGCAGAAAUUUGUAUUUUAAAGGGAAAAAGUUUCACUUAAUAGGUAUCUUAAUCAAGGACUAAGCUUGCCGUAUUGGCUUUUCUGAACGCGAAUGGAAGUGUGAUCACAAUCAUUUGAAUCCCUCUUUUCUAAGAAAAUAAACAUUUACUGUUUUUAUGUA